CCUUAUUCCCCACUCCUUUUCUUUUCCUUAUCUCCUUUCCUCCUUUUAUUGUUUGUUUUACAUUCCCUCGUAUCGUGGGUUGAUUCUUUUACCAGGGGGUUAGGGCUAUCUCAUUGUGCGAUGGGGGACCCUAUCUCGUGGUUCUCUGUGUUCUGUUUAUGUGUUGGUGCUGUCGUCUGGCGUUAGUUGCCCCCCACCCUCCGGGGCUUCUGUCUUUGUCUGAUAUCAUCUGAUUUCCCGUUGCGGGCGGGUUGACUGUAACACCCUAGUUCUCAGUCUCGUGCGUUUUAUUUAGGAGUGUUGUGUGUUGUUCGGUGGCAUAUUUGUGUAUUGCUGUUGACCUUUACUAUGUAUUAGGUCUUUCCUAUGGCUCUGGGUCUCUCUCCUCUUGUCCACUACUUCAGCUAGUGCGUGUUUGUCCUUGCCUCUGUGUGGAAUUUCGUUCUGUGGUGGUCGUCCACCAAGCAGCGUAUGCCGCUCUCGUGGGUGACCGUGCCUAGAUUGCUUGUGUUCGCUUAUGGUGAUAU